UGACGAGCGGCGGACGGGUGAGUAAUGUCUGGGAAACUGCCUGAUGGAGGGGGAUAACUACUGGAAACGGUAGCUAAUACCGCAUAACGUCGCAAGACCAAAGUGGGGGACCUUCGGGCCUCAUGCCAUCAGAUGUGCCCAGAUGGGAUUAGCUAGUAGGUGGGGUAAUGGCUCACCUAGGCGACGAUCCCUAGCUGGUCUGAGAGGAUGACCAGCCACACUGGAACUGAGACACGGUCCAGACUCCUACGGGAGGCAGCAGUGGGGAAUAUUGCACAAUGGGCGCAAGCCUGAUGCAGCCAUGCCGCGUGUAUGAAGAAGGCCUUCGGGUUGUAAAGU
rnacentral:rRNA from 1 species